GGGUGGUGGCAGCGGCAGCGCAGGGCAGGUGCGGGCUGCGGUGAGACCGCCCGCAGCGGUAAUUCCACUCCGCCGCCUCAAUCAGUCAAUUAUUCAUCCCGCUCCGCUCGCGAUGCGGGGGCCACUCGCGGGCCACUGAAGCCCCAGCGCUCCGGGGCUGCCCCGGGGCUCACGACCCGCUUUCGAGGAGGGAACGGGGUGCCGCUGUAACCCUGCUGGUGACCCAUGAACGGCCAUGAGCUGCUGUGAAGCCACCCAGGGGGGGGGCUGCGAGGCCCAGCAAUCUGGACGCAGGCCAAGAAGUCAAGAACUGCUGAAGCCCAGGUCUCCGCUCUCGUACUGACACCAGCGACCACCCAGCCCUGUCAAACCACAUGGCCCUGUUUUCCUGAUGUAUGAGCUCACCAAGGCACCCCCUCCCUGUCAACGAUGUGGUUCUGUAUCACCACCACCCGUGGCUGAGACUAAGACUGAGUGCCACAGAGAUCCAUCCUUCCACCACUCCCUUCAAACUGCCCUGAAAGCAGCAAAGGAAAUUAACCACAGCCUCCACGGCCGCCGCGCCGCUGAAAGACCUUGCACGUCGCUGGCGAUAGAUCUGGAGCGCAGCU